AGAAUUGCUAAGGAUCCUAUUUGAAAGGCUUCAUUGCACUCACAAAGGAACUUAUGCUGUUGACUGCUUUGUUGAAAGUGUUAAUCAGCCCAACAAUUAACUCGAUAUCUAACGGUGUUUGAGGAUAGCCCUUCAUGUUGCAUGCUAUUUUUUCCACCUUUUGAUCUUGAUGUUUUUUUCUCAAGAUCUGGUAAAAGGUCGAGACGGUUUGGUUGAAGCAAGGCAAUUUUUACGAGCUCCGAUUGUAUAUGGAAGGGUAAAAUUAUAGGUUGCAGGCCCCAUUUGAUUCAGUCACAACUUAUUUGAAAUAAAAAGUGAUCGCCGUAAGAACUAAAUUUGUCACAAAAGGAUAACCGAAUACAAGCCAAUAUCAAGGGUGUUUGAAUUAGGCGUGAUUAAAUUUGUUAACUUUCAUUAACAAAAUCCAGGAUGCAGGACUUUGUUCAGAAACAGAAACAAAUGGGUGUUUCUUUAGAGGAAAUGGUUACUCCAUAAUAAUUUAGAGGAUACUGUUUUGAUGCAUGCAUGUUAUAUUCAUUGCAAGGAGGACUAAAAGAACCUGAGCUAUGUGUGUUUCGGAAUAACCACUUCAAGACAAUCUUCAAGGUAAACCGGAAACGCAACUAAAUUGCCGAUUCAUUUGAAGUCAGAGGUAGAAUUAAAAGAUAUUAAUCAAAUCCGAACCAAGUUUAGAAGAAGAAGCAAUUCGCAAAAGUAAAAGGAGAGUGGUCUGAAGAGAAACGAUGACGGCGAUAACGGUUGAUAUAGGGUUUCUUCAGUUGAUGUAGCAAUCAUCAUCGGAUUUUGUCCACAAUCAAGGAACAAUGGAGGACUGGGAUUUGGAGACGUUGGAAAAAGUUGUGGAAUCAAAAGGAAAAGAGUACAACCAGAAUAAACCAACCGACAUCGUUUGCAAACACUUCCUCAAUGCAAUGGAGAAAAAGCAAUAUGGUUGGUUCUGGGUAUGUCCAAACGGUAAUAAAGAGUGUCAUUACAGACACGCUCUCCCUCCCGAAUACAUCUUGAAAUCCCAAAUGAAAGCUCUUUUAGAAGAAGAGGCUAACAAGCUAGCUAUCGAGGAUGAGAUUAAGGAUCAGGUUCUUGAACUGGCUGGAGAUGCAUGAAGAGCCUCAGCCGUCACUAUCGGAACAUCCCCGUUGCUUCACUACCGCCGGGGUGUACUCUAUUUGAUGGAUUUGGAGUUGAGUUUUGUUUGUUUUUAAGGAAUUAUGAAUGUGAUUUGUUCAAUUUGAUGAAAUCUUACUCUUGUUUUCCUUAAUGGCUAAUGUGGUAAAUUUAAUUACAAUAUUAGCUAUUAAAAAUAACCUAAUUUGAGACUAUAAACAUCAAAAGUACAUUUAGGUUACUUUUAACCCGCUUGACCCGUUUCCCUUGCAGCUUUUAUUUACCCUUUAGAGACAAACGAUUUGUGUUUCUAUAUGAUAGUAAUAUCCGAGCAAAGGUUAGCAUUUAAUAUGCCCUGGAAUUUGUCACAUGAUUGACAACCAUUUGUGUUUUUGCCUGACAUUAUGCUUUGUUUCAAUAUGAUGCAAACAAUAAAAUGCCAUUAGAGUUACCAUAGUGGGAUCCCUGCUAAAGAUCGAAGGCGUACACAAGAGUUGUUCUUUUCAAAAAAGAUACGAGUGAUUGUUGCAACUGUUGCGUUUGGUAUGGGGCUUGAUAAAAGCAACGUUGGAGCUGUAAUUCACUACAGUUUACCUGAAAGUUUGGAAGAGUAUGUUCAGGAAAUUGGACGUGCUGGGCGAGUAUCUUAUUGCCAUUUAUUUUUUGAUGACACUACAUACUUUAAGCUCAGAAGUCUUAUGUACCGGUAACUAAGGCCAAACUGCAAGAAAUGGGAACUAAUUUUUACCCUUCUUUCUUAAUUGCUUCACAGUAUAAGAAAAAUCUCUUUUGAUGGUAAUUUUACUUUUUGAAUUUUGAUAUUUCAUUGUUUUUUUUUCGGAAGUCAAACAACAACUCGCAGCCCUUUAUUGUGAAUAAUUUGAAACUUAAAAAAAAGAUUACAUCAAUGAGUUGAUAAAUAAAACUAAUUAUUUUUUGUUUUGCUGAAGUAUGAUUAUUAAGGAUCAGUUGCCUGCUAUGAAAAUUCAGUUAAGAGAUGUAGCAAAACCACAAAGAGCUGGUGGUAGUCGGUGUGGUGGUGGUGUCACUGAAAGGGUGGUGUGAGUUGCCGGCAUUGCAGGAUGGUGUCAAAGGGGAAGAUAAAAGUUGUAUCGCAAAAUGGUGGCAGAGGUGUUGCUUUGGCAGCCGGAGUUGCAAGUGGCGGAAGUGCUCCUUUGAUAGCGGGAGUUGCAGUUGGCAGCCGGAGUUGCAGAUAGCAGUAUGAGUGUUAUACAUAUAUAAAUUGAUAUAUUUAAAACAAAAAUAAGUUUGGGUCCCACAAUUCAAUAUAUUAAUAAAUAAAUUGAAAAAUUUAAAUUAUAAAUGACAAUUUUACCCUUCAUUAAACUUAACUUUUUAACCGUGGUUAACUUUUUGGACUGAAAUGGCAUUUUCGAGAAUGCUAGGGAGGGAAAUAGUACAAUUUUGAGAUUUGGCCUGAAAUGGCAUAAAUGGACAAACCACGGGGACAUAAAUGACAAUUAACUCUACUUUCAAUUUAACAAUACAGCUAUAUGCCUUUUGGCUUUUGCACCGGAUGGACUUCAAUUGGUUGUCGGGUCAGAGGAUGCGUUCGAGUCUGGGAGACUAAAACUCAUAAUAUUAUAUGUGUUUUCAAGCAUGCAAAAGGUAUAAUCUAAUUGCUUCAUUUUUCCUUUCCUUAAAUCCUUAUAUUUUACGUCACUCAUUACAUUAAUCAUCCCAUGCUUCUGGAAUGUUGUGUUUGUAAUGACUUAUUGAAACCUACUGUUAUUCAAUUUUUUAUUGUUUUUUUAAGAAACCGAGAGAGGUGUUUGCCUUCAGCAUCUUACAUAUGGUGUUUUCGGUCUACUGACAAAUAUGAUGAGAUAAAAUGAUUAAUCUUAGAAAAAAAACCCUCUAAAAAUUUGGGAACAUUUCCCACGAAGAUGCAAUAAUCUAUUGUUUAAAAAUUAUGAGUGUUAUACAAGUGGACCCACUGAUCUAAAAUCAGAUCUUAGUUCGAAAAUAUUGUUUCGAGUAACUGACGGCAGUGACGGCUUUCACGUUCCUUCUCGAUGUCCAAGAAUUUGGCAAAAAGACCCGUGGUAAAAAAAAUAUCUUUAUUAUUUUAAGAACCAAAACAUUUUGCAAAUUUUAGCUUCUUCUUAAUCUCUAGCCUUUUGAAAUUAAUAUUUGUUGUGUACGUUUAUAAUGCUUAUAUUUGCAGGCUCAGACUUUUAGUUUGUGUCUCCGAAGAAGAAUAACCAAUAAGGAAAGAAGAAUAACCAAGGCUCAGACACAUAAUGAUUUCCUUUUAGUUUGUGUCUCCGUAUAAGAAUAACCAAUUAGUUCGGGUAUGCUUCUUUCCUCCUUCAUUCAUGACCCAUAUCAAGGUAGCAUUUUCGUAAAUCUUUUAAAAACUUGAUGUUGGUUUUUAAAUUAUAUUAUGCAAUAUCUUAAUCAUUUAAAAAAAUGAGUCUAACGACUCAGCAUAUUCAAGUGUUUACAACCUCCUAAAGUUCUUAAUUGGUCGUUACAAACUCAGUUCACAGGUAUGUCACUUUUUUCAUUUUGCAAUUAUGUAGAUGUGGAAAAAGAGGCAUGUAGGGUAAUAGGCCAAAGUGGGUCGGUUAUUGAUAGGGUUCAAAUUAGGGGUGCAAACGAGCCGAGCCGAGCCCGAGCUCGACCAGGCUCGAGCUCGAGCUCGUUUAACAUAUGAAAGUUCGAGCUCGAGCUCGGCUCGAUUCGAGCUUUAUUUCUGAAGCUCGAGCUCGUCUCGAAGGUCAUUUUUCAAGCUCGAGCUCGGCUCGGGCUCGACUCGUUUAGUAUUUUCUAAAUAAUUUAUAUUAAUUAUAACUAUUAUUUUACAUAUAAUAUAGAUAUUUUUUAUAUUUAUAUAAAUGGUAAUUAUUAUUAUAUAAAUAUAUGUUUAAUAUAUUAAUAAAAAAAUAUAUAAAUAGAAAGCUCGAUUAGGCUCGCGAGCCGGCUCGAGCUCGAUAAGCGAAGCUCGGGCUCGUUUACUAAACGAGCUUGUUUUUAGGCUCGAGCUCGAGCUCGAGCUCGUUUAAGCUCGGCUCGUUCGAGCUUUUUUUCGAGCCGAGCUCGAGUAGCUCGCGAGUAGCUCGGCUCGUUUGCACCCCUAGUUCAAAUCUUGAAAUCGUCGGUUGGGUUGAACUGAAACACUUUUUAUCUAAAUUUCAUAUUUUCUAUAAAUAAAAGCCAACACGUCAUUUAUUGGUAUGGGAGCAACUGGAAACGAGCUGUUAUGGGUCGACUUGAAACAUUGUAUCCAAUAUUCAUGACUUUUCUUUAAAUAAAAAACUAACAUGUCAUUUAUUAGUAUUGGUUGAAAAUGGCCCGGUUGGGUUGAUUACAAAUGCUUUUUUUAUCCGAAAUUUCAAGGUUUUCUUUGAAUAAAAAGCUAACCAGCCACUUAUUGGUAUAAGUUGAUAAUAAAGAUCGAUAAUUGGAUAAUAAUAUAAUUUAAUGGUAUUGUUGUUCAGGUGUGUUAGGAUUUAGAAUAUGUGAUAAUGAACUUUUCUUUACAGUGGUGGAAGUGGUGGAAAUGUCAAUUGAUACUAUUAAUUAGUUGCAUAAUGCCAAGGGACUAUACAUUUGAUAAACAAUAUGUUGUGUAAAGAAAUGCACAAUAAAGGAUAUGUAAUGUUGGAUGUUUUUUUGUUA